rnacentral:rRNA from 1 species
GACGAACGCUGGCGGCGUGCCUAAUACAUGCAAGUCGAGCGGCGCGGCGAACGGGUGAGUAACGCGUGAGUAACUGCCCCCCCCCCUGGGAUAACAGUUGGAAACGGCUGCUAAUACCGGAUAGUGGGGGAUGACUCGCGUCCUAUCAGCUUGCUGGUUGUGUAGUGGUCUACCAAGGCGACGACGGGUAGCCGGCCUGCGAGGGCGACGGGCCACAGUGGGCUGGAAUACGGCGCAAACGCCUACGGUGGGCAGCAGUGGGGAGUAUUGCACAAUGGGGGAGAGCGUGAUGGAGCAACGCGCGGGCGGGAUGACGGUCUUCGGGUGGUAAACCGAUUUAAGCCAUGACGCGGUAGUGGCAGAAGAAGCACCGGCUAACUACGUGCCAGCAGCCGCGGUAAUAC